CCCCCAGGGUCAUCCAGGUGACUCCACACCGGGAUUUCUCCCCUUCACCUAUGCUUCCUCGUAAGCCUCAUAGGACCCUUGUAACUGCAGAGGUGUUUAUUCCCCUCCCAGGUAGGGGAGACUGAGGGCCUGAGAAGAGAAGAGCCUGCCAGAUCUCUCACGAUCCCAGCUUGCCGCUGUAAAGAUAAUUCCUGCUCCAAGCGGAAGACAGAGGCUUCUUGUUUGUUUUCCUAACAGUAGUAGAGGCAGGUGUACCUCUCUUAGACCUCUUUGUUGCUAUUUGAAAACGUAUCCUUCCAUAGUGGGGGGCAGGGGUGGGGAAAGAAAUUGUAGCAGAAGAAAUAUUGUGCUGUGUGUUUUCCCUAUGAUCUCUCUGAACACUCCUCACAUCUCUGCUGGAUCAGUGUUAUCCUCUCCUUUUGGGCUCUUCCCCUAUGGCUCAGCUGGAAAUCUUAUGCCGUCUACUCACCUCUCAAGUCUUGACUCCAACGCUGCUAUGCUGUGAGGAAGCCCAAGUCACCCCCCAGAGAAGCCCACAUGGAGAGGAACCGAGGCCCCCAGCCUACAGUUUUCAGACCAUAGCCAGCACUAGCUUGCCAGUUGGAUGGGUGAGCCAUCUUGGAGAUGGCUCCUCGCGCCCCCGGAGCAAAGAUGAGCCCCGCCUACCUUCAGAUCAUAAAGGAAAUAGACCACGAUUGCUAUUAGCUGGUUUUCCUGCACUGCAAUUGAUAAUCAGGACACUUGCCAUUGGCCGGAAGACUAUCACACGGGGACCUCUGACUGCAAAAGAGACUGAGAAAUGAGCGGGCACAUAGAGAGAACACGCAGGGUUUUCUUGGCGUAGAAGGGAAUGGAGUGUAGGCAGCUGACUUUGCUAAACAGGCAUCAGUAACAUUUUAUCAACUUCAUGGUUGACGUGCCCGUCACCUCUAUCACUUGUCUUCACUUAAAAAAUGUGUUUACCCCAGAAAGCAUGCUUUCCACAUGCAAAGAGCAGGCACUCCAUCUGUGUUUAUAAA
ensembl:lncRNA